GCGGGGUGGGUCGCGGCCGCCAUGGUGCUCCUCGGCCACGGGCUACGAGGGCCGUCAGCUCCCAGGUGCCCGGCUGCUGAAUCGGGCCAUUUUAGGCAAAUCUCACUGAACCUUUCAGGAUUUCCAAAGAUCCGUGUGCCACCCCCACCUGUUGCAGAUACACAGGCUCGGGCAGUUACUGGCUCCCAAGAGCUAAGUGGCAUUAAUUCAUUCCCAGGUCUGUCUGGCAUUCAGAGGGCGCUCAUCAUACUCUCACUUCUCUGCUCCCAUCUUUGGGAAGGCGAGAGUUAGUGAGUGACUCAUAAAAAGUCAAGUUGGUGCACAUUCAGGUCCUGCCAGUCAAGAAACCCAUCUCUUAAUGAAUGCUCGUUUUACGAAGGCCUUGGAGUGAGUCCUCCCUGCUUAACAGGAUGGUACAAUAAUCCCACACCCCACAACCUAGAU